UUGGGGGAGGGGGGAGGAACAGCAUCAGGAGUUAUACCUAAUGCUAAAUGACAAGUUAAUGGGUACAGGAAAUCAACAUGGCACAUGGAUACAUAUGUAACAAACCUGCACAUUGUGCACAUGUACCCUAAAACCUAAAUUAUAAUAAAAAAAAAGAAAAUUAAAAAAAAAAACAAAAAACUUUAUGUGAUCAAGUUGGCUAUAGUUAAAAGAAAAUUAUUUAUAAAAAUAUCUGUAGAGAUUAGGCUUUGAUAUUAAAAUACCCUAAUACUCUAAAGAAUUGGUUAGAACAACAAAAUUUUCUUAAGGUAUUGAUUUACUCUUAAUAAAAUUACAAGAGAUUUUUGUUAACCCCAAAAUUUAACUUUUAUUGUGUCUUACUGUUUUCAGUUUUCUCUCCCCUUUGAGAAGGCCUGAGAUAAUAAUUCACUCCAACUUUUUCAUCAGCUCCUCUAAGUUUUUAUCCUUAGUUUCUAAAUGCUGUUGUGACCUAAUGCUAAAAAUGUUUUAUCUUAAAGGUUUAAAGGAAAUGUUUUCUUCCAAUAUAACAUUCUGUGCUCUUAGCUUUUCUUAAUAUGUCUAAAUUGGUUUACAAAAUUGAAAACCUGGCUGGGUGCCAUGGCUCAUGCCUGUAAUCCCAGCACUUUGGGAGGCCGAGGUGGACGGAUCACCUGAGGCCAGGGAUUCUAGACCAGCCUGGCCAACAUAGCAAAACCCCAUCUCUAGUUAAAAUACAAAAAAUUAGCCAGGCAUAGUGGUGUGCACCUAUAAUCCCAGCUACUUGGGAGGCUGAGGCAGGAGAAUAACUUGAACCCACGAGGCGGAGGCUGCAGUGAGCCGAGAUUGCACCUCUGCACUCCAGCCUGAGCAACAGAAUGAGACUCCAUCUCAAAAAAAGAAAAAGAGAAAGAAAACCUUCACUUAGGACACACUGUUCCUAUGUCUAAUUAAUUCAAAUACCCAUUUUUCAUUAGUUUUGACUUGCAGGUUAUCUAAAUGGACUCCCCACAGGGAACAGCAGUCACACUGCAAAAGGGUUUAUUUUUGGGUUUUUUGCCAUUUGGUAACUGAACUAACAAACAGAUUUUAUGUUUUAUUGAAAUAAUUCCUACAUCAUUAUUAAGUUUUGAUUUGCUUAGGAAAACUGAGAUUAAUUUUGUUUUUAAUUAAGGCUAUUACCUCCAUGUAACUUUCUGUAUUACUUUUAAAAUCCUUGUGCUAUUGAGUUACAGGGUUUUGACUCCUGGAUGCAAAAAGGACCAAGUUCUGCUGAAUCUUAAACACUGAUAGCAGUUAAAGGCUCAUCUUCAGACUUAGGAGAUGAUAACAAUAAAAAUAAACUGCAUUCAUGAAACACAGAGCCAGAAAUUAAAACUAUUCAACCGCUCUAGGCCCAGGGACUAUUGAAGAAAAGGAUGUAAUUGGAGACACUGGUUAGUUUACCAAAGCUUUGACUGGAAUGACAUAUAUUCAGACUGCCCUGAGAAAAUAAGGCUAACUUUUAGAGCCACUAAAAGCCCCUUGGAAAGAUUGGCCUUAUACCUUAUUAUUUACAGGGUCCUGGCCUGUGGUAAGUAAAGAAUGUCACUUUCAGACAUACCUAGGAACCCCAAGGUUUUUUGGAGCCCUCAAAAAGAGAGGAAUUUAUUCCAUUUACACAGGUAUCUGCAGGCACAGAUAAAUCCUUGACUGGCCUCAUGGCUUUAGAAAAGGCCUAAUCUCAGAUUCCUUAUGGAAAAGCUUCCAGCAAAGCCAAAUUUUUAAAAAAGAGAGCCUAUAUGGCAAGUGAUUAUUUUGCUGCACUUUAUGUAAAUAAUCAAGCCAAUAUUAAGACUAAAACUUACUUUACAAAUAAAGUGGUCCUACUAUGAUUUUGUCUUUAAUAAAAUGGGAGAAUUGGAGAGAGAAAAAUCAUGUUUCAAAAUAAACUCUAGUACACCUGUUAUUGGAUUCUAACCUUGUCACGUAUUUUUCAACUUUUAUUCUACAAUUUGGACUGAAUUCUAAAAUAUUUCCUGACCACAAGUUUCCAAAAUAAUAUUUUCAUUUUUUUCUUCUCUCCUUUCAUUUUUCUGCCAUUUUUCCUGAUUUUAAAUACUGAAGCUAGACAACAUAAACUUAUAUAUCUCUAUAUAUAAACAAAUUUUAUACCUACCUACUGAUGUAUGGACUUCGGAGUAAUAUGGCCUAUAUCAGUUUUCCAGGAUUGUUCUCCCUUUUAAAAAUUUUUUGUUAUUUCCUCAUCUUUCCUCUGCUUCCUUUCUCUGUCCUUCACCUAUUUUUUCUUUGUAGAAUAUAAGACUUCAUAACUGGCUAAAAAUGAGUUUUCCUAACAAUGUGGGACCUACCCCUCUAGGAAUUAAAUUGAUCUCCCAAUUGUGAGAGAUCACACAAAACGUGAGAUCAGAGACUCAUUUUCUUCUAAAAUGCGUUUUCUGAAAGAGUUUAAAAGAAAAAAUAGGGAGAUUGGUCCAAUGGUAGUGGGUUAUCAGAACUUAUUAAUAUUAGUGGUCAUUAAAGUUGGUAUGUGACCCCCCCCACUGCUAAAUUUGACUGGCUCUUUUUUUAAAUUUUUUUUUUUAAUUAUUAUACUUUAAGUUUUAGGGUACAUGUGCACAAUGUGCAGGUUUGUUACAUAUUUAUACAUGUACCAUGUUGGUGUGCUGCACCCAUUAACUCGUCAUUUAACAUUAGGUAUAUCUCCUAAUGCUAUCCCUCCCCCCUCCCCCCACCCCACAACAGUCCCUGGAGUGUGAUGUUCCCCUUCCUGUGUCCAUGUGUUCUCAUUAUUCAAUUCCCACCUAUGAGUGAGAACAUGUGGUGUUUGGUUUUUUGUCCUUGCGAUAGUUUACUGAGAAUGAUGGUUUCCAGUUUCAUCCAUGUCCCUACAAAGGACAUGAACUCAUCAUUUUUUAUGGCUGCAUUGUGUAUCCAUGGUGUAUAUGUGCCACAUUUUCUUAAUGCAGUCUAUCGUUGUUGGACAUUUGGGUUGGUUCCAAGUCUUUGCUAUUUUGAAUAGUGCUGCAAUAAACAUACAUGUGCAUGUGUCUUUAUAGCAGCAUGAUUUAUAAUCUUUUGGGUAUAUACCCAGUAAUGGGAUGGCUGGGUCAAAUGGUAUUUCUAGUUCUAGAUCCUUGAGGAAUCACUACACUGACUUCCACAAUGGUUGAACUAGUUUGCAGUCCCACCAACAGUGUAAAAGUGUUCCUAUUUCUCCACAUCCUCUCCAGCACCUGUUGUUUCCUGACUUUUGAAUGAUGGCCAUUCUAACUGGUGUGAGAUGGUAUCUCAUUGUGGUUUUGAUUUGCAUUUCUCUGAUGGCCAGUGAUGAUGAGCAUUUUUUCAUGUGUUUUUUGGCUGCACAAAUGUCUUCUUUUGAGAAGUGUCUGUUCAUAUCCUUCACCCACUUUUUGAUGGGGUUGUUUUUUUCUUGUAAAUUUGUUUGAGUUCAUUGUAGAUUCUGGAUAUUAGCCCUUUGUCAGAAGUAGGUUGCGAAAAUUUUCUCCCAUUUUGUAGGUGGCCUGUUCACUCUGAUGGUAGUUUCUUUUGCUGUGCAGAAGCUCUUUAGUUUAAUUAGAUCCCAUUUGUCAAUUUUGGCUUUUGUUGCCAUUGCUUUUGGUUAAAAAGUGGCGGUGAGAAUUGUGAAAAGAAAAUAAAUUUACUAUGCCAAAGGAAAAAUAUUAAGCUGAAAGCUGAGUCAUGCAAGCAACUACCUUUCCUUUUGUUCCUAAGUAGAUAGCUACAGAUAAAAGGUUAAAUAUUUCCACAGGUAGCUACUUUAUGUUCAUCUUAUCUUAUGUAACGUGUCAAUUUACUGAGUGUGAGACCAAUACACAAUUGACUAUUCCCUUGCUUGCUCCUUUUCUCUUGCAAUAUGUGGAUUACCAUACUCUCCCUCUUUCCUCUCUAUCCCACUUUUCUCCUUUAAAUAUUGAAGCCCUGAAAGUCAUCUUUGGAGAAAGGCACAGACUUGUUUCCCAGGCACAUCAUUCACCUUGGCAAAACCAACUUCUAAAUUGAUUGAGAGCUUUAUCAGAUACUUUUUUGUUCAUACUUGCUCUUUCUAGGACCUGGUAUUGUUUCUUAUAUUCUUAAAUUUCCUUGACAGUAUUGAACACCUAGUUUAUGCAAGAACUUAUAUACUAAAAAUUACCUAAGAGUGUCUCUGGUUCUGAGCUUUUUAUUUUUUUAUGACUUUUUUUUUUUUUAAUGGAGUUUUGCUCUUGUUGCCCAGGCUGGAGUGCAGUGGCGCGAUCUCAGCUAACUGCAACCUCCCCCUCCCAGGUUCAAGCAUUUCUUCUGCCUCAGCCUCGCAAGUCGCUGAGAUUACAGGCGCCACCACGCCCAGCUAAUUUUUGUAUUUUUAGUAGAGACAGGGUUUCACCAUGUUGUCCAGGCUGGUCUCGAACUCCUGACCUCAGGUGAUCCACCCGCCUCGGCCUCCCAAAGUGCUGGGAUUACAGGCGUGAGCCACUGCACCCAGUCAACAUUUUUUUUUAAAGGAAAUUAUUCACUUCUAAUAGCUGUAAACAAGUUAAACUUAGUCAUCCAGGAGUAAUGUUACUGAAAGUAGCAGAGUAGGGAACUCUAAAAUCCUGUCUCUCCACAAAAGCAAUGAACAAUCUGGCAAAAACUGUCAGAAUCAAACUUUUUGGAACUCUGGGAAUCUAUUAAAAAACAACAAUAACAAGCAGGGGAAUGCUUACUGAAGAAAGACACUGCUGAAUUUUGGUAAAAGUGCUGUGGCUUUGUAACUUACCUGCUUACCAUGCCCCAUCAUCAGCUUGGUAGCAGCUAAGACCAGCAGCUCACAUUCCAGAUGCAGGUUGCUGGCAUCAGAGGGAGAAAUAUGGACUUAUUUUCAAGGAAUCAUGCUGGUGUGUUUUGAUCUGUCUGGGCUCCCUGAAGGGUUGGCACAAGGGCUUGCUUUUCUUUUACCUGACUCAAACUUUCUCCAAGGCAUAAGCAAUUUGCAGGUGGUGUUUGCUGAAAGCAUGUAAAAGCAAAUGUAUUAGCCUUAGCCACCUGAGACAAAGGAUGACAGUUGGAGCAAGCAACAAGCAGCAAGAAAAGUCUGGGAAGAAAGAGAGUACACAUGGAGAUACUUGGAGAAAUGAUGACUUUGAAAAGCUUCUGUAUAUAUGAAGAAAUCCAGAAGGUCACAUACAUGUCCAGGCUGGAUAUAUGCCCAGAGACGCCUGAAAAGACUCUAAGCUUUAACGUCUAUCUAACUUUUAGGCUCCACAGAAGAAGGGAGUGAAGGUUAAGGCAGAGUUUUAAACAACCUGGCCAAGCAUUGAAUGAGUUCCCCAUGCAAAGCCAACCUGCAAAGACUGGGAGAGUAUUUUAUACUUUUGGCUCUCAGUAUUUCAGGAAAUCUUUUCAAAUCACUAGCUAACCACUAAGCUAAAAUAACAAAACUUCAGUGGCCAACAACAAGGAAUAUAGCUUUAACAAAAAUGGUUUAGAGAAGUGUCUAAACCAUUAAAGUGUUAAACAACAACAAACUACAACAAGCAGCAACAACAAACUCUGGAGAAGGAGAAGAAUCUGAUUUCCAAAGUUGUCAUAUUAUUCAAAAUCUCCACUUCUCCACAAAAUGUUAUGACACAUGCAAAGAAGCAAGAAAUUAUGGCCCAUUCACAGGAAAAUAAGAAAUGUAUAGAAACAGUCCCUGAAGAAGCCCAGACACUGGACUUACCAGACAAAGACUUUAUUUUUUUUUUAUUAAAUUUUUUUUUUGCACACAAAACAAUAAACAUUUUCUAAAAAUACAUACGAACAAAAA